UAACCGUGGCAACAUAUUUUUAUAGCUGAUGGAUGCAGAGAGAGGAGGAGGAAGUUCAAACCACCUCUUCAAGGAUUUUAUCCCCUACUCCAGCAUCUUUCUAAUCAAACAGCCAAACAAAUUUAAAGAGGAGUGGCAAAAGCAGAUUGGGUGGAUUAGAAGAGUUUGUCAUGUUAUGGUGGAAUAUCCCGGAUUUUGAGCCGUUAGCAUGUCAUGUUGGUCACACAGCAACAUUCUUCAGUCAGAGGCCUCUUCAGAACGCUGCAAGACUGACUGCUGCUGCUUGUAUAUCCUUCCUGUCCCCAGCAUCACCAACUCUUUGUGGAGUGGAGCUAAGUUACGAUGCUCCGCAUCCUUUACAAGCCGAUGAGGAGAUCAGUGCGCCAGCGGAGGCGGAGCUUGAGCUUCUUUUAUGAUCCUUUCAGCUGAGUGCCUCGGGUGAAGGUUUUCUUUUUUCUUUUUUUUUAAGUAUUACUGUAUAGUGAAAACCUUCCAGCAGAUGGCGCUGGAAGCAUGUAAGAAAAUAGGAGCUAUUAUGCCACUGAUGAAAAAUAAACGUAUAACUGAUUUUAA